rnacentral:rRNA from 1 species
CAGCAGCCGCGGUAAUACGUAGGGGGCAAGCGUUGUCCGGAAUUAUUGGGCGUAAAGCGCGCGCAGGCGGUCCUUUAAGUCUGAUGUGAAAGCCCACGGCUUAACCGUGGAGGGUCAUUGGAAACUGGAGGACUUGAGUGCAGAAGAGGAGAGUGGAAUUCCACGUGUAGCGGUGAAAUGCGUAGAGAUGUGGAGGAACACCAGUGGCGAAGGCGACUCUCUGGUCUGUAACUGACGCUGAGGCGCGAAAGCGUGGGGAGCGAACAGGAUUAGAUACCCUGGUAGUCCACGCCGUAAACGAUGAGUGCUAGGUGUUAGGGGGUUUCCGCCCCUUAGUGCUGAAGUUAACGCAUUAAGCACUCCGCCUGGGGAGUACGGCCGCAAGGCUGAAACUCAAAAGAAUUGACGGGGGCCCGCACAAGCGGUGGAGCAUGUGGUUUAAUUCGAAGCAACGCGAAGAACCUUACCAGGUCUUGACAUCCUCUGACAACCCUAGAGAUAGGGCUUUCCCUUCGGGGACAGAAUGACAGGUGGUGCAUGGGUGUCGUCAGCUCGUGUCGUGAGAUGUUGGGUUAA